GGGGUUGUACUGGUUUCGACGGGGGUUUUGAAGUCAGGGAAGCCAUCUGCGGGCCGGGACCGCACAGUAAACCGGAAACUAAAUAUAAACGCAGACGAAAAUUUAGCGUACGCAGCCUAAGGGCUGCUGUCGACCUUGGGUUACUCACAGCCUGAGCCAUCGGCAUCAAAUGAUGUGAGGCACUUCGUUCCUAAAGCUUUGAGGGUACGGAAGAAUUGAUGAAGCUACUGAAAUCUGAAGCUUGUCAUUAGGCGUCAGAUAGAGGGAAUGUCAAAAUAAUGACUGUGAUGGGAGAUGCCUUGAUGGAUGGGCUUUCGGACAGGGGUUCGAUUCCCCUCAGCUCCAUAU
rnacentral:sRNA from 1 species